CAGCAGCCGCGGGAAUACGAAGGGUGCAAGCGUUAAUCGGAGUUACUGGGCGUAAAGCGUGCGUAGGCGGUGAGUUAAGUCUGCUGUGAAAUCCCCGGGCUCAACCUGGGAAUGGCAGUGGAUACUGGCUCGCUAGAGUGUGUCAGAGGAUGGUGGAAUUCCCGGUGUAGCGGUGAAAUGCGUAGAGAUCGGGAGGAACAUCAGUGGCGAAGGCGGCCAUCUGGGACAACACUGACGCUGAGGCACGAAAGCGUGGGGAGCAAACAGGAUUAGAUACCCCCGUAGUCCCUGUCUCUUAUAC
rnacentral:rRNA from 1 species